AACGGGGGGAGCUAGCGUUACUCGGAAUAAUUGGCGUAAAGGGUGCGUAGGUUGUUUUUAUUUACAUACAUUUAAAGAUAAUAGGUGUAACCUUUUAUGGAAUGUAUUUGAUUAUAAUACUAGAGUUUAAAAGAAGAUGGUCGUAAUUUUAGUGGAAAGGUAAAAUUUAGAUAUUAGGAGGACGGUCUUUUUGGUGUAGACACCAUCUAUCGUAAAACUGACACUAAAGUACAAAAGUAUGGGGCGCAAAUAGGAUUAGAGACCCUAGUAGUCCAUACCCUGACCUAUGAGUGUUAAAUAUAAGAGUAAUUUUUUGUAUUUAAGCUAACGCGUAAACACUCCGCCUGGGCAGUACGAUCGCAAGGUUGAAACUCAAAGGAA
rnacentral:rRNA from 1 species